AAGAUUGAGUAUAUUCAAUGUUGAAACCCUAAUUAGGAUUUUACAAUGGUGAAUUCCUAUUUAGGGAUUUACAAUGUUGAAACCCUAAUUAGGGAUUUACUAUGUUGAAUCCCUAAUUAGAGAACACUUCAACUUGUUGGAUGGUAGCUUAUCAUCCAAUCGGUUGGGCAUGACUAUUUCCUAUCUCCAAAACUGAUUCCCAACAUACCACCAGGUGGUGUUCCUUCAUAGCAUGCUAAUGUGAAAUUUCAGAAGAAAUCUUUAAUGUUGAUUUGGGAUGAGAGGAUAAUGAACAAAAUCAGAACACAGAAAAUAAUUGAAACCAGUGAAGAGUCUGAGGAGCUUUGGUAAGGCAGCAUUCAGUUUUGGAUAUUCCCUCCAAUUGGAUUUUAAUACAUCCGCUGUUGUAUUUGUUGGUAAAGAUUUCGAUUCGCGAGGGUUGUGUUUUUAUUCCAUUGAAUCUGUUUGAUACUGCUUGUGAUAGAUCUAGAUCUUUUUUUUUUGGUUGAUUUCAGCGUCGUGUCUACAUACCAUGAUCACAACCCUUGAUGUGAUUUCAUGUUUUUGAGAAUCCUCCCAGUUUAGACUCUGCACUGAUCAUCUUUCAGUGUUAAUCACUGUCAGUUUCAGAGCAUUAUUGGUAGCUGAUUUUUGUUUUGCUGCUACUCAACGGUUAAUUGAUUAUAUAGCUUCAUGGUUGUUUGAGUAGUUUUGUUCUAUGAUUAACUCUUCUGAACAUUCUGGAUUUAUAGUUUUAACAUCACUAGGUUGGUACAACUUGUCUAUGGUUGUUGAAGGUAUUUUAGUUAUUGGGGUACCAGUUCCAAAAAUUUGAGAAUUCAUAAGAACGUUAUUUGUGAUGUGCAUUUGUUUAUUCAUGUUUAGGAAUGGCUUUUUAUUGUAGAACAAAAAUACUAUUCAAAACUAGAUAGCAACAUGAACUUGUUGGGGUUAUGAUUCUAUAUGAUGUCUUCAUGCUAUCAAUCUUUCUUUUGCCAUUGCCAACUUCGCAAUUGUUGAGUUUUCAUCAUUUUAUAUCGAGACUAAUACUCCAGUCAUUCAUAGUUGAAUUAGUAAUGUUCCAUCAGUUUCUGUUCUUCAUUGAAAUGCCAAUGUUUGUUGUGUGAGAAACAAGAAGUUGUCAUUGAAAAGGUUGUUCGAAAUAAACGCAAAUGUGUCACAAUUGUGAAAGGCCUUGAACUCUUUGGUGUUAAACUGAGCGAGGCUUCAAAGAAGCUUGGAAAAAAAUUCGCAACAGGAGCAUCUGUUGUCAAGGUCAGCUGCCUUUUGGACUUGAUAUUUCAGUCUGUAUAGCCACAAGGAAGUAUUUCUCUGGGAGCUUGUAAGGUUUCCACCAUUGACAUCAUUAUCCCCACUGUUUCUACAGUGUGGUCUACUUGAGCUGGAUAUGCUUUAAUUUUGGGUCCGUCAUUAUCCCUACUGUGGGGCCUUGGUAGGUUUCCACCAUGGACAUCCAAGAUUUUCUGUUUCUUUGCUUUACCUCUGUCUCUCUUUUCAUUUUUUCUGUUUUCGAUGGCAAGAGCUGCAAAUGCAUAAGAUACUUAGAAUGGUAAUGAUAUCUUCCUUUUCUCUCU